AGUGAACGCUGGCGGUAGGCCUAACACAUGCAAGUCGAACGGCAGCACAGUAAGAGCUUGCUCUUACGGGUGGCGAGUGGCGGACGGGUGAGGAAUACAUCGGAAUCUACUUUUUCGUGGGGGAUAACGUAGGGAAACUUACGCUAAUACCGCAUACGACCUACGGGUGAAAGCAGGGGAUCUUCGGACCUUGCGCGAUUGAAUGAGCCGAUGUCGGAUUAGCUAGUUGGCGGGGUAGGGGCCCACCAAGGCGACGAUCCGUAGCUGGUCUGAGAGGAUGAUCAGCCACACUGGAGCUGAGACACGGUCCAGACUCCUACGGGAGGCAGCAGUGGGGAAUGUUGGACAAUGGGCGCAAGCCUGAUCCAGCCAUACCGCGUGGGUGAAGAAGGCCUUCGGGUGGUAAAGCCCUUUUGUUGGGAAAGAAAAGCAGCAGGUUAAUACCCCGCUGUUCUGACGGUACCCAAAGAAUAAGCACCGGCUAACUUCGU
rnacentral:rRNA from 1 species